UUUCCCGGCUUCGUACCAGCGUCAAGCGGUUGCUCCACGGGCUCUCGCUGGUUUCGAUGACUCCGAGGCGCAACAUUUCGUCCACCUCGGCAAACAACAGCUCUUGCACCGCGGGAGAUACCGGUUAGAAUCGCUCCUUUACGGGUACGGCUCCCUCGAUUAAUUGAAUUUCGUGCCUUUCGAGCGUCGUUCUUCCCAAACCAUGCGUGUCGAAUGCCCUGAAGUUGCUCUUCACCUGGUCCAGACGUGUCUGCUGGGUGUGCGUCAACUCGUGCGGUUCCGUUGGUCUACUCCUAGUCAGCACCUCAGCAUCAAUUUCGGCUAAUUCCUUGUGUCGUUCUAGGCCUACUAUAUGCGGAGACAGAAAAAACUUCCGCCAGAAAUCGACCCCUAGGUACAGCGGUUGUUGCAGCGAGGGACACAGGAACAACUCCAUAGUCUGCUUCUGGCCUCCAUACGUCAUUACCGUCGACACAUGUCCCAGUAUUUUAUGAGGAGUGCCGCCUGCUGUUUUUCCAGGCCACCUUUCCCCAGAAGGCUCACCGAUGCCCCUGUAUCCAGUAGUCCCAUGCGAAUGGUCUGUCAUCCUGACGAAUUGCCGAGUGGACUGCAGCACACACCUGGAGCCGCCUUCUCUUGCGCCCCUGAAACCUGUCCCGAGCCCGCUGUGCUCUGACUGCUCCCGUUCGGAUACUCUCAUCGAGUUCGUCCCCCAUUAUCCGAUUCCUGGUCUGUUCGUACUGCCGCUGUCUCUCCUUUAUCGGCUUGCGCUCGGGCCAUCUCGCUUUGGGGAAUACCGCUUGGUUAACCUUAUAUAUGGUAGAGUAAAUAUUUUUAUUGCUACUUCUUUCCUUAGGGGUAUCUAAUUUAACGUUGGAGGGCCUAUCUAUUGGCUGCUUCGCGGCGACGUGGAACUCGACUCCUCCAAUUGCGUCGUGCUCCUUUUCGCGUUUCCCGGCCGACAUUUAGGGCAUUUAGGGAGGAUGACCCCGGCCAGCCCGCACUUGUACCAGAACAGGUUACGCACGGCCGACUCACACUCAAAAUAGGUGUGACCCGGCUGAGCGCAAUUCCAGCACUUUAGCUGGGUGCGGUCGCCUCCGGAUUCCCUCGUCCUAUGGACAGCAUCCAAUGCCUCGGUCUGUUCCUCCGGGUCGU